CUCCAGACUCCUACGGGAGGCAGCAGUGGGGAAUCUUCCGCAAUGGGCGCAAGCCUGACGGAGCAACGCCGCGUGAAUGAAGAAGGUCUUCGGAUCGUAAAGUUCUGUUCUUAGGGAAGAAGUCUUUUCUUGUGAAUAAUGGGAGAAGGUGACGGUACCUAUGGAGAAAGCUCCGGCUAACUCCGUGCCAGCAGCCGCGGUAAUACGGAGGGUGCGAGCGUUAAUCGGAAUUACUGGGCGUAAAGGGAGCGCAGGCGGCGCGCCAAGUCUGAUGUGAAACCCCGGGGCUCAACCCCGGGCAUGCAUUGGAAACUGGCGGGCUGGAGUGCCGGAGAGGUAAGCGGAAUUCCUAGUGUAGCGGUGAAAUGCGUAGAUAUUAGGAGGAACACCAGUGGCGAAGGCGGCUUACUGGACGGCAACUGACGCUGAGGCUCGAAAGCGUGGGGAGCAAACAGGAUUAGAUACCCUCGUA
rnacentral:rRNA from 1 species